rnacentral:rRNA from 1 species
AGGAUGAACGCUGGCGGCGUGCCUAACACAUGCAAGUCGAGCGGAAAGGCCCUUCGGGGUACUCGAGCGGCGAACGGGUGAGUAACACGUGAGUAAUCUGCCCCUAGCUCUGGGAUAGCUCCGGGAAACCGGGAUUAAUACCGGAUACGACCACUUUAGACAUCUGUUGUGGUGGAAAGAAUUUUGGCUAGGGAUGAGCUCGCGGCCUAUCAGCUUGUUGGUGGGGUAACGGCCUACCAAGGCGACG